CCCCGUGCUCCGUGGGCUCCCUCUGCCACGUGGGCUCCUCCCUGCGUGUCCCCGUCGCCUUCCCCCGAGCUCGAGCGCGCGCACACGCGUCCGCGGCGACGCCAGCGCGACACUCCCUUGCCCGGCUAUAAAUAGCCAUCCCCGGCCUCGUUCGAGCUCACCACCAGCCUCGACUCGCUCCUCUAGUCCUCCCUAGUGCCUUGCCCGAGCUCGAGCCGCUCUCCUCGACCCCCAUCGCCACCAUGGCCGCCGCGGCCUCCCUCCUAAAUUAGCUCGAGUCCGAGACUCCCUCUCCCUCUUUCCACUUCUAGUAGACAGCCCGGAGCAUCCUGAACCUCCCGACAUCUUCUCCUCCUCCUCGGGUGGCCAGGAGUGCCAAGUCCAUCAUCGCCCGUAGCCACCGUCCGCCGUCCUCAAAACUGCUCUCGCCUCGGUGCUCCUCGAUGGCCGUGCCCUACGCCAUCAGAUGCGCCGCUUCUUCCCGAGCACGCCGGUGUGCCGAGCUCCGCGGGAGAUGGCCGGAGUCGCCGGGACUCGCCGUCGAGGCGGCCGGCCUCGCCUCUGCCUCUCUUGAGCGCGGCAGGAAGAAGAAGGAACGAGGGAGGAGAGAGAGUCAACGGCGGGCCCCACCUGUAAGUGACCCAGGAGCCCGGCCCCGCUGUUGAUGACGUGGAUAAGUCGAAGCGCCACGGGGACCCGGCUGUGAAUAUUAUUUUUACAGAAAUGUCCCUGAUCUUCUACACCUCAUAACUCCGCAACCGUAACUCCGUUUGAGCCCCUCCGAGAGAGAACUGUUUCCGGCAAAUCUUUCCG